GCUUCUGGUCCGGGUACGCCUGGGUCUUAACCGUCACAAUCUUCACCAUGGUGGCGACUCGCUUCCUGGGGCCGGAGCGGACUCUGCUAACCGAGGGCGGCCGGAGCUGUGGCUGCAGCUGCUCUGGGGGUAUUUGUAUCAGCAAAACGAGUCAACUCCCAAGGUCUAAUUCGACUACUUUCCCUGCGUUUACUGAUGGACCGAACGCUUUACUUGCAUGGUUAGGUAUUCUUGACUAUGGAAUCAAGAUGCUGUGGCAGGCUCAAUAAUGGCUGCCUGAGAGAGAUCCACAUCCUAACUCCUGCAACCUGUGAAUCAUAUGGCAAGAAAAGGACUUUGCAGAUAUAAUUAAGGAUCUUGAAAUGCGGAGAUUAUCCUGGAUUAUUCAAGUGAGCUCUAAAUGCAAUCAUAAGUGUUCUUCUAAGAGGGAAGCUGAGGGAGAUUUUAUUACAGAAGAGGAGAAGACAAUAUGACCAAUGAAGCAGAGACGGGGGUGAUGCAGCCACAAACCAUGGAAUGCCAGCAGCCAUCAAAAGCGGGGAGAAGCAGGAAAUACACUCUCCUCUAGAACCUCUAAAGAGACCACAGCCCUGAUGACACCUUGAUGUUAGCUCAGUGAUACUGAUUUUGGACUUCUGACUUCCAGAACUGUGGGAAAAUUCACGUUGUUUUAAGCAUGGUAAUUUGUGGUAAUUUGGUUAGAGCAGCCAUAGGAAACUAAUACAAAUACUUUGAUUUUAUGAGGGAGUAUGAGUCAGGAAGCUCAAACUCAUGUCCUGAUUCCCUAGAAGCCUAAAGUGUGAUGUCAGGUGGUAAGAGAAUAAGAAAAAGAAGGCUAUAUUCUAAGUCUCUACCAGUGAUUUAAUAACAGAGGAAAGUAUAUCAGGUAUAGCACAAGAAAACGAAAUCAAGAAAUCAUGGAGGUAAUUAUUUCCAAAUUAUUUUGCUCAAAUGAUAUGAAUAAAUUAAAAGGUUUUUUUAUUUUAUUUUUUCUUUAAAUUUUUUAUUAUGUUAAUCACCAUACAUUACAUCAUUAGUUUUU